rnacentral:rRNA from 1 species
UAGUAUUCAAUUGUCAGAGGUGAAAUUCUUGGAUUUAUUGAAGACUAACUACUGCGAAAGCAUUUGCCAAGGAUGUUUUCAUUAAUCAAGAACGAAAGUUAGGGGAUCGAAGACGAUCAGAUACCGUCGUAGUCUUAACCAUAAACUAUGCCGAUUAGGGAUCGGAUGAUGUUAAUUUUUUAAUGACUCA